GAUGAAGAACGCAGCAAAAUGCGAUAAGUAGUGUGAAUUGCAGAAUUCAGUGAAUCAUCGAAUCUUUGAACGCACAUUGCGCCCGCCAGUAUUCUGGCGGGCAUGCCUGUUCGAGCGUCAUUUCAACCCUCAAGCCCCCGGGCUUGGUGUUGGGGAUCGGCGUGCCCUCGCGGCGCGCCGUCCCCUAAAUCUAGUGGCGGUCUCGCUGUAGCUUCCUCUGCGUAGUAGCAACACUCGCACUGGAUCGCAGCGCGGCCACGCCGUUAAACCCCCCACUUCUGAAAGUUUGACCUCGGAUCAGGUAGGAAUACCCGCUGAACUUAAGCAUAUCAAUAAGCGGAGGA
rnacentral:misc_RNA from 1 species